rnacentral:rRNA from 1 species
UACGUAGGGGGCAAGCGUUAUCCGGAUUUACUGGGUGUAAAGGGGGCGCAGACGGCAAUGCAAGCCGGGAGUGAAAGCCCGGGGCCCAACCCCGGGACUGCUCUUGGAACUGCAUGGCUGGAGUACAGGAGGGGCAGGCGGAAUUCCUAGUGUAGCGGUGAAAUGCGUAGAUAUUAGGAGGAACACCGGUGGCGAAGGCGGCCUGCUGGACUGUGACUGACGUUGAGGCCCGAAGGCGUGGGGAGCAAACAGG